rnacentral:rRNA from 1 species
GAUGAACGCUAGCGGCAGGCCUAAUACAUGCAAGUCGAACGGUGUCUUCGGACAUAGUGGCGCACGGGUGCGUAACACGUAUGCAACCUACCUUACAUUGGGGGAUAGCCUUUCGAAAGGGAGAUUAAUACCGCAUAAGACAGUAGCUGGGCAUCCAGCAGCUGUUAAAGAUUUAUCGAUUGAAGCUGGGCAUGCGUCCAAUUAGCUAGUUGGUGAGGUAACGGCUAACCAAGGCAAUGAUUGGUAGGGGAACUGAGAGGUCAAUCCCCCACACUGGCACUGAGAUACGGGCCAGACUCCUACGGGAGGCAGCAGUAGGGAAUAUUGGGCAAUGGACGCAAGUCUGACCCAGCCAUGCCGCGUGCAGGAUGAAGGCGUUAUGCGUUGUAAACUGCUUUUAUACAGGAAGAAACGACUCUUGCGAGAGGCAUUGACGGUACUGUAUGAAUAAGCACCGGCUAACUCCGUGCCAGCAGCCGCAGUAACAC